CGCGUGCGCUCAGCUGGGAGGCGUGUCAGCUUGUAUGUAAACGAUCAGCCUUUUCCACAUGGUGACCGACGUUUGUGUUUUCUGUUAAGAAAAAUCACACUAUACGUAUUGUAAACAUAAACAGAAGCAGCCCUGCCCCGACGCGCCCCUACCCCAAGCGGAGCAGUCAUGUGGCAGGAGGCCCGCAAACAUGAGCGCAAACUGCGCGGGAUGAUGGUGGACUACAAGCGGCGUGGAGAGAGACGCAGACAGUACUAUGAGAAAAUCAAAAAGGAUCCAGCCCAGUUCCUGCAGGUACAUGGCCAGGCAUACAAAAUCCAUCUGGAUUCAGCUGUAGCCCUGGCAGCUGAGAGUCCCGUCAACAUGAUGCCUUGGCAAGGAGAUACCAGCAACAUGGUUGAUAGGUUUGAUGUCAGGGCACACCUGGACUACAUCCCCACCUAUACACCACCUCUCCUAAACACUACCACCACAGAGCAGGAAUCAGAAGAGAGGAAGUGCAAUUACGAGCGCUAUAGAGGUCUGGUGCAGAAUGACUUUGCGAACAUCUCAGAGGAACAGUGUCUGUACCAGAUCUAUGUGGAUGAACUCUACGGUGGCCUACAGAAACCAAAUGAGGAUGAGAAGAAAAAACUCUCUGAGAAGAAAGCUCAGAUCGGUUAUACAUAUGAGGACACUACAGUGACUGAACCAGAAGAACAGAUGGAGAAGGGAAAUGAGGAUGACUCAGAAAACAGCGAGUCUGAGGAAGACGAAGUCAUCCCUGACAUUGAUGUUGAGGUGGAUGUAGAUGAACUGAACCCAGAGCAGGUGACGGAGAUUAACAAGAUGGGCACCACUUAUGGCAUGGCAGAAGGGGACUUUGUGUGGAUGUUGAGGAAGGACAAGGAGGAAGUGGAGGCCAUUAAGCAUGCAAAAGCACUGGAGGCAGAGAAGGCCAUGUACUCUGGCCGGCGGUCUCGCAGACAGCGGAGAGAGUUUAGAGAGAAGUAUAUGAAAGGCAGGCAGAUCAGCCCACCCAGCUAUGCCAGAAGAGACAGUCCUACAUACGACCCCUACAAACGGCCAGAGUCAGACUCAAGUUCAGAGUCACGCUCUCGUUCUCGAACUCCAGGCAAUGAUAAGAUCACUUUCAUCACCAGCUUUGGGGGCAGUGAUGAUGAGGGAGCCUCAGCCACACAAGCCCCGCCUGCAGCUGCGUCAAGCCACACCUCCUCCAACACCGCAGGUCAUAGCAGGGGCUCCCGCCGAAGACGUUCUUCCUCCAGUCACUCGUCUUUUUCCUCCCGCUCCUCUUCACACCGGUCCUCACGCUCAUCCUCACGUUCCCGCCGGAGUCGUCAUUCUCGUGGGGGCAGGGACCGGGACAACCGUUACUCCAGAUCUCGCUCUCGCCGGCGGUCUGACUCCCGUUCACGGCAACGCAGUGGAGGCUCGAGGAGACGAUACGACAGGACUAGGUCUCGUUCCACAGAUCGGGGUAGAGACAGAAACCUGGAAAGAGACAGAGACCGGGACAGGGGGAGGCGCUACACAGGCCACAGACGAACCAGGUCUCGCUCGCGUUCUCGUUCAGGUGAUCGUUACCAGCGGCGGAGUCACAGCUCAGCAUACAGGAGGGGCGGGAGCAUCAGACAAAGCCCCUCCCACUCACCUGCAGUGAGCCGCAGCCUUUCCCCCUCCUCCCAUUCUGCUCCACUUACACCUGCUUCUGCAGACAAACUGAGAAAGCCUGAAAAUCCGGGUGGUAAAGAGACUGGAGCUGCCAAAGUCACCCAAAAUGACGCCACAAGAGAAGCUCAAACUCAAAAUGCAGAAGGCUCUAAACAAGCAAUCCAAGGCGGAUAAGAGGGCAGCACAAGCCAAGAUCCAGCAGCAAGAGCACAAGCGACAGGAACGAGAAGGAGUUCUUCGUGCAAUGGCAAGGAAAAUACGCAUGAAGGAGCGGGAACAGCGCGAAAAAGAGAGAGAUGAAUGGGAGAGGCAUUAUGGACGUCAGAGUCUCUCGCCCUCCCCCAAUGCCAAACACGGUCGAGACUACAGCUCAUCCAGAAGGAGAUCACGCUCAAGAUCACGGAGUCCUCAUUACCGGUACUGAGGCAUCUGCCGAAAAACUGUCAGGCCACAAGACGUCAAACAGAUGUUUCAGAAGUGAAUGGGGACCAUGAUGGCAAGAGUUUACAUAGUUUUUUGGGGAAAACAGUAUCAAUAAGAUAAAUUUCACUCACUUCUACAUCUUCUAAAAGAUGCAGUGGAAACAAAGUCAUUUCUAAAAUUAACACCAUCAUGCUCUGAGAACACUUUUCCUCUGCCAUUCUUGAUAUUACACCGCAGGUUUGCCACAAAUGAUCUGAGCCACUAGGAUUCUAAUAAACUUUGCAGAUUAUUUUGAGUCGAUCUGUUUAAUUUUAUGACAUAAGAUUAGGAUGAACUUUAUUCUUUCUCUUGUGUCCCCAUUAAAGAGAGAGAUUUUACCUCAUUGUCUAUAAUGCCUCAAAGAGUGAUGUGGAAUUUCUUUCAAAGAAAAUGUAGAUUCAAUGCCAUAAUCUUUUUCACUCGGCACUGUAAGUAUCUGGUAGUUUUUAUUGUAGUAGAAACAAUCAUCAGUGAUCACAGAUUUUGACAUUGAAAUAAAAAGGUAAUCGAUGAUGAAAAAUAA